GAUGAACGCUAGCUACAGGCUUAACACAUGCAAGUCGAGGGGCAUCAGGACGAUAGCUUGCUAUUGUUGCUGGCGACCGGCGCACGGGUGAGUAACGCGUAUCCAACCUUCCCCUUAGUAGGGAAUAGCCCGGUGAAAAUCGGAUUAAUGCCCUAUGUUCUUCACAGCGGACAUCUAACGUGAAGCAAAGAUUCAUCGCUAAGGGAUGGGGAUGCGUCUGAUUAGGUAGACGGCGGGGUAACGGCCCACCGUGCCAACGAUCAGUAGGGGUUCUGAGAGGAAGGUCCCCCACAUUGGAACUGAGACACGGUCCAAACUCC
rnacentral:rRNA from 1 species